rnacentral:rRNA from 1 species
UAGGGUUCGAUCAUGGCUCAGGAUGAACGCUAGCGGCAGGCUUAACACAUGCAAGUCGAGGGGUAACGGGGAAGCUUGCUUCCGCCGACGACCGGCGCACGGGUGCGUAACGCGUAUACAAUCUACCUUGUACUGGGGUAUAGCCUUUAGAAAUGAAGAUUAAUCCCCCAUAGUCUCUUAGAGUGGCAUCACUUCUAGAGUAAAGGUUACGGUAUAAGAUGAGUAUGCGUUCUAUUAGUUUGUUGGUGUGGUAACGGCACACCAAGACUACGAUAGAUAGGGGCCCUGAGAGGGGGAUCCCCCACACUGGUACUGAGACACGGACCAGACUCCUACGGGAGGCAGCAGUGAGGAAUAUUGGACAAUGGAGGCAACUCUGAUCCAGCCAUGCCGCGUGCAGGAAGACUGCCCUAUGGGUUGUAAACUGCUUUUAUACAGGAAGAAACACCUCUACGUGUAGAGGCUUGACGGUACUGUAAGAAUAAGGAUCGGCUAACUCCGUGCCAGCCGCCGCGGUAAUACA